AUUCUCCUAGUAACGGCGAGUGAACGGAGAUUAGCCCAUCACCGAAGCCUGCGUGUGUUUGCAUGCUAGGCAAUGUGGUGUUAAUGCUUGUACCUGGGAUCGUGUACCUACCCGAAGUCUAAAUCCGAUUGUGGCUUUGGAUUCAUUCCAUAGCGGGUGAAAGUCCCGUGCGGGUAGGACUCAUUCUAAUCACACGGUCCUCAGAUGUGCAUGCAUUCGAGUCGGAUUGCUUGAGAAUGCAGUCCAAAGUGGGUGGUAAACUCCAUCCAAGGCUAAAUACUGGCACGAGUCCGAUAGUAGACAAGUACCGUGAGGGAAAGUUGAAAAGUACUCUGAAGAGAGAGUAAAUAGUACGUGAAGCCGAUUGCAGGGAAGCUGGUGGAGUCAAGCUUCGUGCUUGAGGGAUUGAUGCUGGGAGCAGGUGUGUGAUUUGGAUGUGAGGUUGGACGACUUGGAAUAAGUUGGGCGUGUUCUGAAUGCGCUUCAAGUCAUUCUGGGUAGAGUGUUAUGAGCCAGCCUCGCUUUCCUACUCUCAGUGUUGUAUUCUUCGCUGCACAGGCCACAGUCAAUAGGUGCAUGCGGUAUGAAGGCCUAACUGUGCUUCGGCGGGUGCAAGCUCUCCGGGCGCAGGAUGGCAGGUGCUGUCUUCGGGCCUUGUGUUCGUUGAUAGUUGUUGUGGUUUUGACCGGCUGGUCUUCAUACUGUAUUGUGCUUAUUGCCUAUCGAUGGCGUAACUUCCUCGGAAGUUGCGUUGUGAAGAACUGUGGCUCUGAGGUAGACUUUCCACCGGACCCGUCUUGAAACACGGACCAAGGAGUUUAACAUGCGCGCAAGUCAAUGGGCAUAUUACGAAACCCAAAGGCGCAAUGAAAGUAAAAGCUUCGGCUUAGGUGUGAUCCUGAUUUGCUCCUCACAGGGCGGUCGGGCGCAGCACCGGCCCGUCUCGUAAUGUUGUCACUGUGGCUACGGUUAUGGUGCUGCAUU
rnacentral:rRNA from 1 species